GCGGUUUGAAGAUAAACGGUUCACCUGCACCUAACAGUUAUAAAAAUAUAUAGAUAUAUAGUAUAUGUAGAGAUUUUUGUUAUUGUUAACUGCAGGGCGGGCGGUACGAUGAUCACCAUUCAAAGUCUUAAUUAGAAUCAAUAUAACAAAAUCAUGAUACGAGCGAUUAGAUUCAACUAAAUCGAGAUCGAGAUUUACAAUAAAUCGAACAAUUGACCAGGUCAAGGUGUGAAUCAGCUCAAUGCAGAAGCGAAACUGAGCUAACCGCAGAUGUUUCUUUGAUUUUUUGCAUUAGUCUCUCUAUGCUAUUAGGAAACACUAUGUAAAGGUCUUUUUUUUUUGAGUUUAAAUUUAACAUUUUAAUUCAAAAAAAAAAAAAAAACGGCAUGCGGCGACGAAGAUCUCGUAGGAAAUGAGGCGGAGGUCGGAUUCGGAGAACUGGACGGCGAGUUGUCCGAGUGGAGACGGUGGUAGAUCGGAGGGAAUCGUGGAUGCCAUCGACGGUGGCGGCGGCGUCGUCUCUCGCUUGGAGUGACCCAGAGACAGCUCUCUGAAGAGGUGAGCCAUUUUUUUGUUUGCGUGUGGAGAGCAGCGAAAAGGAACAAUAAUACAGCUUCUAAUAACAGUUGCCCCCAGAAAAAAAAGAAGAAAUGGCACUAUUGUAAUUAUUUUUUAACUAUUGAUUUUUCGUCUUAUUAUAUUAAUGAAAUUUCAUUGCGUUAGUUGGUCAAAGUUAAAACUUUUUUUUUUGGUAUAAUUGACCAAAAACUUGACCUUUAAAUUUCCUUAUAAAUUGAAGUGCUUGAGCUGUAAACAUAUCUUCAUUAAUCUCUACCUAAUUGUAUAUUCAUGAAUACCAGCUAUGUUUGUAUAAUUGGUUGUACAUUAACCGAAAUUGUCUUACACAUGAUCAUACUUUUGUUUAAUAACACAAGUUGUUUGUAUAAUCGUUUAUAGCAUCAGUAAAAAAUAACUAAAAGAAGUAAAAAUGAAUAAUAGAAUGGUCGAGUGGUAAAGAGGACUUAGAAAUGUGAUAAGUACUCCAUGUUUAAAAACUACCAUCUCAGAUUUAUCUGUUUGUAUGAUUAGACGUAAUUUUCAUUACAAACAGCUAAACUGGUGUUGAUAGGCAAAUUUUUAAACAUUAGUCGGUUAAGAAUCGCUAUUACAGAUAUCCCAGAUUAUGAAAAAACUGAAUAAUAGACAUAAUUGUAAGUUGUAACCAUUUUCGUAAUUGAUGAAAGAUGACGUAAUUUGUAGGUGUAGGAAGAAAAAAUUACCACUGAUAAUGUUUUGGUUAAUUCAGAAAAGUAAAAAAAAAACAACAAUGAGAAACAAGUAAACAGAUUCCAUUAUGGUAAAGAAAAGAAGCAUACAUAAUUGAAGGAUUAAAAUAAAAAGAAUAAAAAGUGUGGAAAUGGGAGCUGGAGCAUGAGAUGCGAACAGCUUGGAGACGGUCUCACGCUCAUGUCUCAUGAUCCUUCUUUUGUGGGCGAACUGGACCACGUAAUAUGCAUAUUUUAAGUUUCUUCUUUUUCUUUAAGUAAAUUAUAAUUCACAAUUUCACACCACCAGUUGAUUGUUUCAAACAAUUUUGCAGUUCGAAGUCUGGAUAUAAGUUUAGGGAGAUAGUUACGGUAUUUGGGUGAUUACUUUGGUUAUAGUGUUGGACAUAUAUUUGUUACAAAUAACCUAUCAAAACUAGACCUAUAAUAUCAAGUUUGAAAGUAAAGUCAACUUGAUUUAUAUUGUGAUUAAAUAUACAUGGUGAUUUAAUUUACCGUGAAUAGUAAUCCAGGUUCACUAGCAUGUGGGUUUGUUUUGUUUUUUUUAACGCUGUGUAUUAUUAAGCCACAUGGACAAAAAAUUUUAAAACACAAGAUCAUACCAGUAGGUAUAUCAUAAGAGAGGAUAAAUAGAAAAUAUCAGAGGUUAUCCUACUCAAAAGAACACAAAGGCAAUACACGAAGACAGUACUCUUCUGAUGGCGUGCACUCGGAGAUGAGGUUGGAAGAGAGGCUAGUGUUUCCUCAUACAUCAAUGAUUGUAAUUUACACCAUCUGCGAUGGAAACUCGCCAUAUGAAAUCAAGGUUCUGGAAGGAUGAAAUGCUAAAACCAUGAGCUCAAACCCUCCAAACAUUUGGGCUCUUCUUUUAUCCACAUUAGUGGCUUGAAAAGAACUCAGUUUUUUGGAAGUCUGGCUCCAUGAAAUCAAUCCCACCAGUUCUGACAGUCGCAACAAAUUUCAGUAAAGCAAGACCACUGAAACGCCUAAGAGUGAGAGGCGAGACAUAGUAAAGAACACUCGAUAGAUCACUAGAUAACUGAACACCCUACCAAAGAUGCAUGACCGUCUCAAAUUGAGACGAUUCUUUGAUAGCCCGAGGCCAUUGCAGACCUCCAUCAACAACAAACGAUUGAAACCAUUUUCACUUCAAGACCACCUCAAAUAGAAACAGAACCAUUUGCACGACUAAAGAUAACAAACAGAGAAACUGAAGAAGAGAACAAUCCUUAAACUCCAAAAGCAUAUGCCGCUCCAUGCCGUCAAAUACGGCAAGACACAACCAAAACCAGGUGAAGCUCCGAUGUGAUACGACAAACCAAACACCGCCAAGAAACUAAGAGAUCAAAUCUGGAUAUAUGAUAUCAAGAGUACAAGCGGGAUACCCGCACCAUUGAUCGAACAAAUACGGAGCCUCCAUCAUUAUAGCAGAGAAGAUCAUGGCCCAGGCAAGAAUAUUAAGCAUCAAACGCUCCAACUCCACAACAGCCUUUUGAGUAGCUAUAGAACAUAAGAUUCUCCAGCGACCUCCGUUACAGAGAUAGAAAAAUAACACAUAACCUUGCUGUUGAAAAACACCACCCCUAACACCAGAGAACGCUAAGACACUACAAUAUCACUAGAUCCAUAUAUGUUGAUUGAAAAGCGUGAAAGAUGUCAAACAAAGGUAAAUGAUAGCGAAGGGAGCCUCUCCUGGCGAUGGCGAGGAGCGCCGAACGCUAGAGAAGCGAGGAUCUGGCCAAGGAAGACGACGGCGGCUGAUGAAAUUAUUUUCAGUUAAUAAUGUCUUUAUUUAACUUAGUAUCGUGGGUUUGUUUGAAUAGAUAGAUAAAUUUUUUUUGGAAUGAAUAUUAAAUUUGUAUUCAUCAAAAAACAUUUCUCAUCAAGUUUGUGCUUAAGCAAAUCAUUUUUCAAAAAGCUGCUUGGUCUCUAAAGAAGAUAAGAACCACCUAAUUAUCAAGAAACUAUUUUAAGGUCAGGGAGAAGAAAAUGUGUAAGUUUGAAAAAAGAAUGAGAGAAAUGAACUCCAAGGUGGAUGCAAUAUAAAGGUAUUUAAGCAAAAAACGAUGAACUAUUGCAUCUCAUGUGAAAGUUAUGGACACUCAACUAGCUCAAGUAAUAGCCGACACUAAAGGAGUGGCAAUGAAAAAAGAGGCCUAGUAAUAAAUAUAGCAAUCCAAGACUCUGAGAUCAAAAGCUUCAUGUCCACAUAAAUAAUCAUAUACGAGUUUGAAAGUUUAAAUUACUGCUCAUAAGAAGAUUUAGGUGACUAGAGCUGUGAGUGAGAAUAGUUCAGUACACUUACCUUUGGACAAGUGAUUUUGAUGAGGAAGAGAAGGAUUUGGUUGAGAAAAUUUUGGAUUUGGCCAAGCAAAAAGACAAUAUGGUCGACAAAUUCUAUCACUCUGUCCGACCAUGAACCCACGGUCAAGAACCAGGCCGAGUGCAUGGCUGGAGACAAAUCCAUAUGGACCAAUCCAAAGAAAACAAUGUGAAAUGUCAAGGAAAGCCUAAGCAUUCUAAGGAUGCUUCACGUUCAUUUGGUGGCGAUAGUAAAUAAAGAAAGUACAUAAUUAGAUGAGUUCAAAGGAUGCUUCCUAAUCUUAAACAAACACUUAGAAAUGAAUUGCUAAGUUGAAAAUGUUAAGGAACUUAAAUGAGAAAAGUACAGGGUUAGGCGAGACUGAUUAAUAAAGCACAAUUUUAUGUGAAUAGAAAUGUACAAGGAAAAAAGACUUAUGUGUAUUUUCUUUCUUGGGCUGUUUUUUAGCAACUUGGCUUAUCGCUUCUCUCAUAGUUUAAGAAUCGUUUUCUGACGAUCUAGAUUUUGUUCAACUGAAUUCAAUACUUUCUUAUAAUCGUCAAUUUGUCUUGGUAUUUCAAAUAACCUAGUAUCAAAUUUUCAUCUAUAAAAAUCGGCCAAAUUCAGAUCAACAAUGUUCUAUUCAGUUAUUUUAGCCAACUCAAGUCCAAACUGAACCAUCUAAGAAUGGUCAGUUUGGGUCGGUUCCUUUGGUUCUAGUUUAGUCGUUUUCAUGCUCAUGUCUAGUGGCGAGACCUUCCUCUAACAUACUUGUCCCAAUAUUUUCGGUAAUACUGAAAGAAUACAACAAAUAAGAAAAUGGUACAAUCUGUACCACCCUUUAAGGACACCAAUCAGAGCACUGUAAUGUGUAGCAUGACUCGAACUGUAACCUAAUUUCCAAAAACGAUAUGUUAAAGAAAGUAAUACAUCGCACAUCUCACUAAAGAACAUCAUACAAGUCAACUUUCGACUCAUAUCAAUCAUUCAUCAUACAAUAAUUGUGUCCAUGUGCUCCCUUAGCAUUUUCUUCUCAGUUCUCGCUUUAUUUUGUUUGACCAAAACGAACUCAUUAAAAGCCGCUCCGAUGUAUUAACGCUCAACAUCAACCAGAACCAUCCAAGAAUAUUUCUCUGGUUUAGAUUUAUUUCAAAACCAUGAAGAAGAUCGACUUGGGGAACCACCGCGAGGCGGCUCAGCCAGACUGCAUCAAAGCUCUCAUUGUCGAAUUCAUCACCACAUUUUUCUUUGUUUUCGCCGGCGUCGGAUCCGCCAUGGCCACAGGUAAAUUAUUUUACAACACAUUAUAUUCAUGUUCUUUGUUACAAUUUGGUCAUACCAAGUUAGUUACUGGCUAUGUACACGCAAAUCUAAUCCAAGUCAAUUUACAUUGGUAUUUUUAAUCAUUCUGCUUCUCAAAUCUAUGGCUUAUGUUGUUUAUAUUUUAUUCAUGGUAUAGACAGCUUAGUCGGAAACACAUUGGUCGGACUUUUGGCGGUCGCGGUGGCUCAUGCCCUUGUAGUGGCGGUCAUGAUAUCUGCGGGCCAUAUCUCCGGUGGCCACCUCAACCCCGCUGUCACCAUCGGCCUACUUUUCGGAGGUCACAUCAGUGUCUUCCGCGCAUUCCUCUAUUGGAUCGAUCAGCUGUUGGCCUCCUCCGCAGCCUGCUUCCUCCUAAGUUACCUCACUGGAGGAAUGGUACGUUUAAUAUCACCAAAAUUAAUAAAACGUUAAUUAAUAUAGUUUAACACGUAUUAUUAGCAUACAUGCUAAUACAAAUACAAAUUAUAACCCAAUAAUUCAUAUUUCACAUGGUUUUAUUCUUUAGUAUUUUAAUCUGACACUAGAUUUUGACCCGCGCAACCGCGCGGGUGUUUGUUUUUACUUUUUUUUAUACAUAAAUUAUUAUUUUUAAACAUUAGUGGUAUAUUUUUUAAACAUUAAUCAUAUACUUAAAUGUUUAUAUAACUAUUUCAAAUAUAAUAAUUUUAUAAUUUACAUGUUAUAAUUAAUCAUUUGGUUAAAACCGUAUGUAUUUUCACUUCUUAUUAUAUAUUUAUCAUUAUUGUAUAUACAUAAGUCUAAGAUAUGUUAAUUUUUAGACAUGUAUUAUAAAAUUUGUUAAUUUUAAGCCGUUCUAUCAUCAUAUUAUAUUUUUAAAAUAAAUAAUUUAUAUUUAUGAAAAUAAAAUUUAUAAAUUUAUCAAUUGAAUAUACUUUUAACAUGAGACUAUAAAGUGGAUAAAUAGGAUAUAAUUUAUUUAUUUUUCAUUUUAUAAACGAUAACUUAAAAUACAUUAAAUUAUUGUUAAAAUACUUUUACACAGAUUUAUUAGAAUUUAAAAUGAAAAUAUAUUAUGAUUAAAGUAGUUACAAAGAUUUUAUAUUAUAGCAUUUAAUAAAAAUUUUAAGUGAUGGUCCAAAUUAAAAAAAAAAAUCACACAUGAAAGAAGUCAUGACUUCUCUUUUAAUAUAUAAGAUUAGAAACCAAAAUAUUAAAAACUAAUAUGUUCUAUAAGUAUAUUUUUAAAAUACUUUUAACAAUCUCAAUUCAAGUUAAAUGUAUAAAAUAAAAUACACAAUUUAAACACAUGAUGCUAUGUAAAUCAUACGUGAUAAAACGUUUUUUAAAAGAUUAUGCAUUUUACCUAGUUUGACAUUAUUACGUUUUGUGAUUAGGGAACUCCGGUUCACACUUUGGCAAGUGGAAUCAGUUACACCCAGGGUAUCAUAUGGGAGAUCAUCUUAACAUUCUCACUUCUCUUCACUGUCUACGCCACGAUGGUGGAUCCCAAGAAAGGCUCCCUUGAUGGGCUAGGCCCACUUCUCACCGGAUUCGUCGUCGGAGCCAACAUCCUUGCCGGUGGCGCCUUCUCUGGAGCCUCAAUGAACCCGGCCAGAUCAUUUGGACCUGCUUUGGUCUCUGGGAACUGGACUGACCAUUGGGUAUAUUGGGUUGGACCGUUGAUCGGUGGUGGACUUGCAGGAUUCAUCUACGAGAACGUCCUCAUUGACCGUUCAGAUGCCCCACUCGCCGACGACGAGCAACCAUUCCUAAAUUGAAUGCUUGAAUCUAUACUAUGCACGUUACAUAUCUAUCAAGCUCAUCACUAAUGAUGCAUCUUCUUGGUACACUUCAAGAUGUAUCUCUUGUACUCCUAUCGUAUUUCAAGCAAUUUCUUUAAAUUUAUCAAGUUCCAGUUAUCAAAAGUAUAAAACAUUAUAGAAUAUCAAAACAAGAUUCACCAAAAGCCAUUGCAAGAACAGCGACCGUCUUUGAAAUGGUGGAACCUGUUUCUGUCUCUCACAAUGAUCUCUCUGCCAAAAAUCUUGGAGAUCAUCAUAGAAACCUGAUGACAAUCACCACAAACUCGAAGGUUCUUCACGAUCCUAAUAGGGACAUCUUCUUUCAAACUCAUUAUACCAAACGCAAUCGCUGCCUUUUCGCUAUGCAGACACAAAGCAUCCUCUUUCUCCUCUUCAUCUAUGUCAAACAUAACCGGGCUCGUGUCUGCUUUAUACCCAGCAAGUCUCAGCCUCCUCGAGAUCUCCUUCCAAAACGACUCGAUCUCUGUAUACCUCGGGUGCGAUUUAUCUCCGACAAAGAACUCAUGGACUUCUCCGUUGACCUCCAUUACACUGCACCCUGGUUCCUUUCUAACUCCUCUAGAUUUCAUCGACUGUCUAACAUGACUAACGUUCUCCCAAUUGUCUGACUCUGCAUAGAUGUUUGAUAACAUGACAUAAGCCCCGUGAUUCGUCGUCUCUAGCUCGAGCAUUUUUUUAGAUGCAAGGACACCAAGUUCGAGAUUCUUGUACAUUCUAGAUGCGUGGAGCACAGAGCUCCAUACAGCAGCGUGAGGCUUCAUUGGCAUACGCUGGAUGAUCCCGACUGCUUCUUCUAAGUGACCUGCACGAGCAUACAAAUCAACUAAGCAGCCGUAGUGAUCAAGCUGAGGCUCAAUCCCAAACUCAUCCCUCAUCGAAUCAAAAUGUCUCUGCCCUUCAUCUACCAAACCAACCACACUGCAACCUCUUAGAACCGAGACGAACGUGACAGCGUUUGGAGUAACACCAUCUCGUUUCAUAAGAGAGAAAAGCUCGAGACAUUUCUCUCCGAACCCAUUCAUGGCAAACCCGUUCAGGGCGCUGCUCCACGUGUACACAUUCUUCUCUUCCAAGCCCCAGAACACUUCCAUAGCUCUGUUCAUGUCGCCGCAUUUUGCGUACAAGUCGACCAACGUUGUCCCAAGCCUCACAGUGAUUUUGAUUUUGUUUCUCUCUAUGUAAGAAUGAGCCCACCUCCCUUGGUCCAAAGCUCCCAACUGAGUACAAGCGGAUAAAACGGAGAUCAUAGAAACCGCGUUCACUUUCACACCUUCCAGCUGCAUCAGAUGAAACAAGUCCAGAGCUUCCCUCGAUUCUCCGACCUGAGCAUAGCCAGAGAUCAUAGCGUUCCAUGCAAUGGGGUCUUUCUCCGGCAUCUCCUCAAACAACUUCCUCGCGAAACCAACAUCCCCGCAUCUCGCACAGGCCGUGACCAUCGCCGUCCGACACACGAAGUCCGGACAAGGAACCGAGUCAAACACCUUGUGGCAAGAAUCCGGACACCCUAGCUCAGCGUACAAAGAGAUCAACCCGGUUUGGACAUGCGGGUCAUUGUCAAAACCGCGUCUUAUGGUCGUACCGUGAACUUGAAGCCCUGUCUCACGCAUACCCAUCCCGGUACAGGCCUGAACCAAGAAGUUGACAGUGUAAUUAUCCGGUUUAAGAUCGGAAUGAAGUAUCUUUCUGUAAAAAUCGAAGCUUUUCUCUGGAACAGGGCUUUUACAAUGUGCUCUGAUCAUAGAGUUGAGAGCAAACAAUGUAGGCUUAUCAGACCUAUCCAGGAUCUGAUUCGCGUAGUCUAAGUGUUUCUGAUCGCUCAAAGCCACUGCCUUUACGAACUGACCCACGAGAUGGUCAUCGUUGAGCGUCCCGUCGACCAAGAGCUUGGCGUGGAUUUGCCUCACUUCCUUAAACGGAGUGCCGGAAUCCAAAAGAGCGAUAACUGGAUGUUUCACGAUUCUGCUCAUGACUAUAACAACAACAUCCUAUGCAACCUGCAGGGAAGAAGGUACCGAGGAAGAACAUUGUCAAGUAAUGGUAAGAGAUUGUGUUUAAAGUUCAGUUGGGCAUUUUAUCGAACAUCUGGUGUGCGACUCUCGAAAAUUUACAACUGCUAAAAAAGUCAUGAAAAUGCGGAAGAUUAUAAGGAGAGGAUUAUAACCUGACUCGGCGGCCUGCAAACUCUGCGCCGGUAAGAUCUUUACGGCAGCAAAAUUUUCCCAGGAGAGAGAGAGAAGAAGAAGCGUAUCGAUGAGUUUAGACACUAAACCAGUGUUUGGGUUAUGUUGCAAUUGUGAUGCAGAACCGAUCCAAAACCAACUUGAAAAAAUAGUUUUUGAUUCCGAAUAAGUUGAACUAAAAUUGUUGACAAAAACAAAAAAAAUGGAACUUUAAAGGGGUUAGCGGGAAUUGUAUUCACGUGCGGUUUUGAUUUUUAUAAUCUAGAAAUUUGCUGAAUUUGUAAAGAUAAAAAAUUCACACUGAAAAUAUUCUAUUGUAAUGAUUUUAAAAAUCUCUAGAGAAUAUGUGCAAUAUUUUGAAAUUUUAGUUUUAUGAAUAACAUUGUUUAGGAUUCAAUGACGCUAAAUUUUAAUAGAAUCACUAAAAUUUACACAGAGGCUAAUUUCAAUAUUUCAUAUCGAUCGUCAAAUCUCCUCUAUACAUGAAUGUUUUCUUUCCGCAGAUUUACACAGAUGCUAAUUUCAAUAUUUCAUAUCGUCAAAACAGUAAAUCAAAGUUCAUCCGAAAUUUACAGCGUAUAAAUAAUUAUAUAACUCGAAAUCAAUACCCCCACAUUACCUCUCUUAUGCGAGCCCACACAGACACAUGCUAACUAUAUAGUAUUUGAAGUAAUUGAAAACAAGAAACAUAACAAAAAUGAGUCGUUCAUAUCAUCACAGUUCAAACAACCGACACUCACUAUUGUCCCUGGCUUUCAACUAAUUCUUAUUGUACACUUUGGUACACAAUUCGUACAACAUUCUCACAUCAAAACCAAGAGAACAUGGUGGCUUCUAAUGGUGAGGACACCGAACGUUCCUCCACCAAAAAGAAAAAGGAGACCUCCGCAGUGGUAUAUCGCGGGGCACGCAUGAGAAGCUGGGGCAAAUGGGUGUCGGAGAUUCGAGAGCCUCGUAAGAAAUCAAGAAUCUGGCUCGGGACUUUCCCCACGGCGGAGAUGGCAGCUCGUGCGCACGAUGUUGCGGCGCUGAGUAUCAAAGGAAGCUCAGCAAUCCUUAACUUUCCAGAGCUCACUAACUCUCUGCCACGACCUGUCUCGCUCAGCCCAGCCGACAUCCAGGCCGCAGCAACAAAGGCCGCAUUUAUGGAAUUCAAAACACCAUCGCUUCAUCUCGAGGAUGAAACGCCAUCUCAAACUAGAUGUGAGACUGAGACGAGCGACAAGGCGUCGUCCUCACCCACUACGUCUACGCUCUCAGAGGAGCUAGGAGAAAUAGUGGAGUUGCCGACUCUAGACAAUGAGUUAAGUAAAGAUUUUGCGUUGUUCGACUCGUUGGAAGUAUUGGUCGGGAUGCCUCCAUGGCUAGAUGCUACCGAAAAAGAUCCAGUACUGUUUGACCAACUUUUCCAAGAAAGCUUGUUGUGGAAUCAUUAGUAAGAUUUUCUUGGAAAAGAAAUUUAUAUUUUGAUUCCUUCUCUCAAUAGUUUCAUAUGCGUACUUUAUCUCCAAGUACAACCUUAGAUUAGUAAAUACUUCCGCUAACGGAAUUAUAUAAAGUGUAAACAACACAAGCUUUCCUUGUUUCUUUUUUUUUUUAUCUUGCAUUCGAUUGUUCACAUAUAGUUAAACUUUGUGUUAUUAAUAUUUUUGGGUGGUUUAGUCAUUUAAAUGUAAUGAGUAUGUAGUAGUGGUUUACUGAAAGCAAGUGUUAAGUUAUUUAUAUCGCAGUGUUUCAAAAAAAAGUUAUUUAUAUUGCUUGUACGUGCUAGUAGAUAAAGAUCAAUACACCUAAGGUAAAUGAAAGAUUAAAAAUAAAUCAGAAGAGUACAAGCUCGACAAUACAUUAAUUGUUUUACAUUGGUAUUCCCAUGGUCGACAUUUGAAGUUAACUAACGCAAAAGUUGGUAACAAUAUAAAUCAGCUUAAGGUAUCUCAGAUAUGUUUUCACUCUUUUUUCUCCGACUACAUUUGGGUACAAAUCAAAUCAUGUGGGUUUUGUCUGAGUUCAGCGUUCAAAAAUUAUUGGAAAACACCAAAUUAGUAUUCCAAAACCAUCACGUGUAUGUUCGUCAUUAAAUAAAAAAUGACCUCUAAAAAAGCAACCCGAUCGAAGAGAUUCCCACUCUGUCAAAACUGAUUUUGCUAUGACUUAUAGAAAACCAUCUAACCGAAAUUUUAGGGAUCUUAUUGAACAGUAUUUUCCUAUUUGGGUUUUAUUAGUGGGUUACAAAAUUUGUAAAAGGCAACGUCACGUAUGCAUGAAUCAAACUGAUCAUUCGUGUGCAUUACUGUUGGUAUAUUCUUUUCUUCCUUUUUUUGUCUAACUAUUUUUUUGUCUAACUAUUAUUUUGCUUUUUCUAAGUUUGGAAAGAAAAUAAAGACAAAGACUUUACAUAGACGCAUUUGAAAUUUUGAUUGGUCGGAUUAUCUCACUCAGGAGCGUGUCCCCUGCUACACACAAUUCUCUUUCAUGUCAUUUUCAAUCCUCGCUUAAUUUUCUUUUCAAAUUAUGAUACAGUAUCUGAAUGUAGUUUAUAAUUUAGAUGCCUAAAUUAAUAAGUCGCGACCAAUUGCUUGAACCACGCAGCGUUAAUGAGAUCGCGAACGGUAUUACAAACUCUUAUAAAUUUCACAUAAAAGUAUAUUAUGAGUCAUCCUAUUGCUUUGUUUCAGUUAGAAGAAUCUUAUAUUUAUUUCUUAUACUUGUUCAUUUAUAAAGCUUAUAAAUGUUCAUUGUUUGAGCUUAUCCUGCAUAGUUUGGAUCGACAAAUUUACUUCAUGUAUACAAAUUUAAUGCCGUGUUUCACCUCAAAAACUAGCUACCUCGCCUACAUCGUUAUUAUUUUGUUUCUUAUCGACGGCUUCCAUAACCUCAUUUAGCCAAUCAAAUUUUAGUAGAGAUGAACAAAUUUGUGUGAGACGGUAUAUUUGGGUUAGGUUCGAUAGAGAAGCGUACAAAACUGAAGUCAAUUGCUAUUUAGAAUAUAUAUAUAAAAAAGAUUUAUUGUUCAAAUGAAGUCGUCGGGAAAAUAUAUAGAUGUUUAAUUAGUUUUAUAUGGGACAGAUUUUUCUUUUGGAUCUCGCGUCAAAGAAAAGAAGACGAAGAAAUUUGGUAUUCAACAUAUUUUUAAUCAUGUGCACAUUCAUUUAUUCUUAUAAGGCUGUAUAUUUUAAAAAUAUACACCUUUUAUUUGUAUUUGUUAAUAAGGCUGUAUAGUGUUUAAUUUAUCCUACCUAGUAUAUUAAAUUGCUUAUAAAUAACGUCACUAAAAUCAAAUUUGUAUAUCAAGUUUUUUUUUUGAAACAAUAUCAAGUUUUUUUAGUUUUAGUUAGAUACCUAAUAAUUAUUUUUGUUUACUAGGUUUUUGGGCGAGUUGAUACAGUAGUUGCAAUGAUUUAUGUUCUAUGUCAAAACUCUUGACAAACAAUAGUAAAUGACUAAAUCGUAUAUAUAUAUAAAUAUUGAGCGUUCAAAAUGCCUAUAACAAGUUGGAAUUUUUGCAAAAUUGACCUAUAACUUAAAGUCAAACACAAAACUAACCUCCUUUUUUUUUGAAAAUUGGUUUUGCCCUAUUCACCCCACAAGUUCAUAUAAUUUACGAAAAUGCCAUCCAUUUUUUUUUUAUUUUUUUUUUCGAAAAUGACAUUUUUACUCUCUCACCCUCAUCAUCUUCAAGUAAUUACAAGAUUGCCAUUGUCAUCAAUACCACAACCACCAUGAACAACCAAUUUGAAGCUCUUAAUGCUCCUAAAAUCGAUUUACCCUUCUUCUUUUUCCAUUCUUGUGACCUAAACACAACAUAUCUCUCACUUUCUCUCCACAAUGAGCUAAAAAAACCCAAGAUUUUGAUUCUAAAAUUUUUAUGGUUCAUAGAGUCAUAGAAGCUAACGAUUAUGGGUGGGUGACUUCCGUUUGUGAUUCUGUGUGCUUGGAGAAGCCUUAUGUAUGCUAAGGAACUUAUCUCACUAAUUUAAGGUAUGACAUCGAGUUUUUUUCCAGAUCUGUUCGUCAGACGACUUACUUGGGAAGUCGUCUGGCUGUAGACGACUUACCUUUCAGUCGUCUGGCUGUAGACGACUUACCUGGAAGUCGUCUGGUCAACGCAGAGGUUAUUUUUGCAAUUGACUUUGAAAUCUGUAACCUGAGACGACUGAAAGUUAAGUCGUCUACUAUUGUUUGGUUUCAAAAAAAAUUCCAAAGAACCUAGACGACUUACAUUUCAGUCGUCAUAGGUUAGUUUUGCAUUUGACUGGAUAAUUUCAGAAGUUUGACUUCCCCAGACGACUUACAUUUCAGUCGUCUGGCGAAAAUUAAAAUAAUAAUAUUUUUUUAAAAGUAGACGACUUACAGUUAAGUCGUCAUAGGUUAGUUUUGCAAUUGAAAAAAAAAACUUCAAAAUUUAAUUAUACACAGACGACUUAUAAUUCAGUCGUCCACGAGACGACUUACUUGUAAGUCGUCCAGGAUUUUUUUCCGAGAUUCUGGUCAAACCUCGUAAAUCCUGGACGACUUACAUUUCAGUCGUCUCGUGGACGACUGAAUUAUAAGUCGUCUGUAUAUAAUUAAAUCUUGAAGUUUUUUUUUUCAAUUGCAAAACUAACCUAUGACGACUUAACUGUAAGUCGUCUACUUUUAAAAAAAUAUUAUUAUUUUAAUUUUCACUAGACGACUGAAAUGUAAGUCGUCCAGAAAAGUCAAACUUCUGAAAUAAUCCAGUCAAAUGCAAAACUAACCUAUGACGACUGAAAUGUAAGUCGUCUAGCUUUUUUGGAGUUUUUUUUUUAGCCAAACAAUAGUAGACGACUUAUUUUUCAGUCGUCCGAAAUAACAGAUUUCAAAGUCAAUUGCAAAAAUAACCUCUGCGUUGACCAGACGACGUAUAGUUUAGUCGUCUGGACAACUUAGAUUGAAGUCGUCCGCGUCUUCUCCGCUAGUUUUUAAGUCUUCUACGUUAGUUUUUGAAUAACUUGUAUUUUUAAGAGUGAUAAGUAACUUCAAGAUAUGUAAAACUCAUAUUUACAAAAUAUGUUCUCUCCCUUAGUUUUACUAAAUUUGACUAAGUUUUUCAACGCAAACUUAUAAUAAAAUAUGAUAUGCUUUGACUAGUUACUAUUGUUUGUUUCCAUCUCUUAAGUAUUAUUGUUAUAGACAAUAAUGAUGACUAUUGUUAUGAGUUGGAAGAAGGGUUAAAAUACUUCUUAAAAUGUUGUAUCAAUAUAAAGCUACCAACAUUCUUGUUUAUUAAGAUGAGAAAAAGGCCAUUGGAGUUUAUUAUUGCAUAUGAGAGAUCCAAAGAUAAGAAAAAGGCUACUGAAGUCUAUUAUUUCAUUGAUUUGUAAAUGUGUAAACACAUUGUUAGCACAUUUAAUACAUCUUGGAAAACAUUAUUACUGAUUUUACAAAAAAUUCACAACUAAAAGAGUAGACAUGCAAUUCACAAAACAGACCACAAACAAAACUAUUAUAGAUCAUUCCUCUACAAAGACAAGCUUGGAUUCCACUUGAGUAGACAAGACCACACGACUUUUAAGAAGUCCAGACGACUUCUAAGAAGUCCAGACGACUUCCAAGAAGUUCAGACGACUUUGUCAGAAGACUUUUAGGAAGUUCAGACGACUUCCAGACGACUUUACAGGAAGUCCAGACGACUUUACAGGAAGUCCAGACGACUUUACAGGAAGUCCAGACGACUUUACAGGAAGUCCAGACGACUUUGUCAGAAGACUUCCAAGAAGUCCAGACGACUUCCAGACGACUUCCAGACGACUAACAGGUAAGUCGUCCCAGAAGUCUUCCAGAUCUGAAAAACCUGCAUAUUAAAUCCAGAUCUGAAAAACCUGCAUAUCCAAAAACGUUCAAAUGACUUAAAAAUAGAGAAAAUGAGUGGAAGAUUAGAUAAAUCUACAUUUAUAGAACACACAAAAAUACAUAUCUAAAAUUAAUAGAUCUACCUCUAAAUUAGUGGAAGAUGAGUACCAUUUGAUUAAAAACCUGCAAAAGAGAUAGAUUAGUAAGAAAUACAUGAGACAAAACUGAAAAAUUCAUAUAAAGUUUGGUGUUUUCAAGUCAAAGAGAUUAGAGAGAGGUUGGAGAGUUUUAGAAUGAUGAACAUUACAUUUUUGUUGUUUACUAUACACAGAAAUAAACUUAAUUAUCUAAUUAAACACUUCAUAAAACCAAAUCAAACUUGAAAAGUGUUUACUAUACACAGAAAUAAACACAUAUAGGUGAAAACUAAUUUUUGAAAAAAACAUUUUAGUUUUCCAAAAUCUAGCCCUAACAAUACAUACAAUACUACAACAUAUGUUUGCCAAACUCCUAAACCAAAGUAUUUCAUGAUUCACUACUUCCACUCAUAUAUCUUCAAAACAAAUCAAUUUUAUCAUAUCUUAAUUUAUAUCAGUUAAAACUGUUUAUAAUUACUUGAUUUUUAUUUUUUACGCAUCAAAAUAUUUUUUUACAAGAUUUAUAAAUUAUUUUUAAAAUAAACUGGUACCAGACGACUUACACUUCAGUCGUCCAGACGACUUCCAAUAUCUCAGACGACUCAGACGAUUUACUGGGGCUAUAUUCGUAAAAAUGGCUUCUGUUUUUUUGUUUGGUCACAAGGGGCUGAGCUGUAAUUUCACUAGGCUUUUAGGUUAUUUUUGCAUUUGAUUCAAGUUUGGGUAUAGGUUUGGAAUUAAAAUCAAGUUGUGGGUUAGUUUUGGCAAAAACCCCUAACAAGUUGGUACUGAUUUCGUCAUGAUUGCCAUGCAAGACCAAUCAAAUUACUACAGUUUUCCUUUUGUUCGAGCACGUUGAUCCAUUCCUUUUUUUGCAGCGAUCAAUUCUUUGACAACGAAAUCGUGAAGGGAGAGUUGCACCAUGUGUUAAGUGUGCUUGUUUUCACACCGUUGUGUUUGUGUCGGCGAUACUUAAAUACUCCCUCUGGGUACAAGUACAUUAUGCUUAUGGUUGUUCACACAAUAUUAAAAAAAAAAAUAUUUAUUAUUGUCGAUUACUUUUUGGUUUUACUUUUAGUUAGUUUAAAGUUUUAUUUAAUUUUCAAUAGAAUCCAAGCACUUACAUUUUUUUACAUUUUGAUUUAUAUUUUAUUUUGAAAACAAAAUGCAUUAGUUGAAAGUAGAAUGCCAAUCUUUUGUAUAGAAAAAAAAAACUAAAAUAUCAUGCAUUGGUAUAGGGAUGAGUAUAAUUUAAUAUAAUUUAGUUAUAAUUGCAUUAUUUUUUGUUUAUGACGUAAUUAAGUCUAUAUCCCAACCACUUUUUAUAUUUUUAUAUCUAUUUUCUAGUUCUCUUUCAACUUAUCUACUGUUUUUUUUUCUUCCGCUCGUAAGGGAGAGCUGCAUUCUAUGUUUUUUUCACUCCAUGCAGACCCCGAUUCUGACCCCAUUCCUAUGAUUCAAAAUGUAUGGGGCUUAGGAUUUUUUAAGACUUUUAGAGUCUGUUUAUUUGAUUUAUUGUUAGUAUUAAUGUAGUAACAUAAUUUUUUGAAGAAGUGAAAUGCUAGAAUUCACAAGCUGUGGAACCAGUUUAAAAUGCAAAAACAAAUAAAUCUUAAAUACUGUUUUUUUUGUUUUCAUGAGAAAAAAAACUAAUAAAGCAACAUUAUGUUUCAGGUUAAGUUUGCUAUUUAAAUUUAAUUUUUAUGAACUAUUUAGGACCCAAAUAUUUUUAUUUUGUAUUAGACCCCGAAUAUCUCAGGACUGGCACCAUGCCAUUCUUUAUUUAUUACUCCAAAUUCAACCGGUUUAAAUUCAUUAGGGUGUAUAGUAGAGAUGUGAUCUUUGAUGAGAAAUAUAUGGUAAAUCAUGCGAGAUCAGGCCGAAUGUAUGUGAAGUUGAGGUUAUAACAUAAAUUCUGAAACAGAUCAGAAACGGUCUUGUAGAGUUAGACCAUCAACCGAUAGUGAUGAACAGUGUACAAAGUAGAGAACGGUUAACAACGUGUUAAUAACAUACAUAAACGUGUAUCGAAGCCCUUGUAGUUGACACAGAUUAUCAGUCUUGCCCUUGCAGUCUACAAAGGGUUGAAGACAUGAUCAAUUAAACCCUUGCAGUUGACACAGAUGAUACAUCCAGUUUUUUCAUGAAGCUAUAAAUAUUAAAGAGAGAUGAAUAGGUGCUACGAAAGAGUCAGUGAAUCUGGAUAAAUAUCGGACUUGAGAUUUUAUUGACUUGCCAAAAAGGGAUGCGAUAUGUCGCAAGUAAGUUUCAAGAAGAAAUUGGGAGUGUAUGGAAAAGAAGCUGUUUGGUUUCAAAGACUUGUAGCAAGCAAUUGUGGUUCGCCCAGAAGCUAGAUAAUCUAUACUAUUAAAGCAUAAUCCUUCUUAGAAUUAUGUUCCUAAUUUUCCAAUUAAUUGGAUUCUUCUUAGUUUAGAAAAACUUACUAUUAGAAAAGAAAGUCGGCUUUUUAGGGCUAGAAAUAGGGAUAUAUAUUCACAAAAUCAAUUAAAACUCAAAAAUGGAUAUUUGUGUAAAUAAAAUUUUCUCUCAAGUUUUUUUUUUGCUUUUUCAAGUUUUAUUUACCAAGUUUUUUUUAACAAGUUUAAACUAAGAGGGAGAUAGCAGAAGAUGAGCACAAGGUGAGAAUAUAAAGACUAUUUUGUGUUUAGUGAUUUUCUUAGUUCCAACGCAAAACGGUAAAUAGAUGGGGAGACUGAACUUGGUCUGUGUUAGUAUAACCUCAUAUGAAGCUAAAGCUUUGUAAGGAGCCAUUCCAUCAGUUAGAGUGACUACAGAGGAAGCUAUGUGAACUUUUCAUGAUUAGUUCGAGUUCCUGCACAGCUUGCAUUAGGCUCAUAGUUCUGAUGUAUAGCUUAACCUAUACAUACAACAGUAAACCCAACAAAUAUUGCUGUGAUGAUGAUUAUAAAUAAAUUGGCUAACAGUCUAUGAUCAAGAGAAAAAUUAUUAAGAAUUACAAGGUAACAUCUCUGAUUUUGUAGCUUCAAAAUGGAAACUAGAAGAAGUGAAUCGUAAGUGUGUUCCAGAACCAUCAUCGUUCCUUCUUCACAAUAUAUGCAGACUUGAACCAGUUCCUGAGAUUGAUCUGAAGUGAAACUUCCUGUAAUGUAUUGUUCAUUUCUGGUCGAUAUAAACAGCGUCAACAUCAUCAAGUUCAAGCAGUUUCUGCAUAAGCUCUUUGUUCAGUUCCAUGGCCUCAUCAUCCACCUGCAACAACCCCAGUAAUCACAUUUCCCAGCGAAUGAACUGAUGAAUAAUGAUAAGAGUGACUUUUAUAUGAGGGAAAGACAAGUUUAAAUGGAAGGCCAAGGGAUCAUAUCUUGGGGGUGUAAAUCUAUCAGUAUUAGGCAUGAGGAAAAAGGUUAUGGCACAGAGGAAAACAGUACAGAGCAAAGGUUCGCUACCUCAACUGUAGUCAGAGGGAGAAGUUCAGAGUCAUUGUCAGGCUCAAAGUUCACUCCUUCAUCACGUAGCUUUGACAACACUGUUGAGUAGUUCUCAUUAGAAGUUACAAUUUUGUAGUACCUGAGAGACAAGAAACAGAUGAAACAAAACAAAACAAAACAAAAAAACAUUACAAAAAUGUACUUGUGAAUCAUCUCGAAAAAAACAAAACAGUGACAGUAAAAGUGUAUACCUUUCUUCCCUAUCUUCAUCAGUAUCAUCUUCAUAACUAGGGGGAUCAAUAACAUCCUCAGCACCAGCAUCUAGAGCAAUAAUAAAGAGCUGGUCUUUGUCAGCCUCGGUGACCUUUAUGUUGACGACCCUAACUCGUCUAAACUUGAACAUGACAGAUCCUGAAUCAGCCAUUUUGCCGCCAUAAUCCUUAACAACUGAUCUAACAGCUGCCACUGAACGAUUAAUUUUGUCUGUUAAGACCUCGACUACCAUACUAACUCCACCAUACCCAUACACCUAAAAAAAAAGUGUUUUUUUCAGAGUCAUCAAAACACAAAACUAGAGUUUGAAGCAUUUGUGACAUAAAUAAACCUCAUAGAUCUUCUCGAUAAAAUCUUCUUGGCCCUUCUCAGAAGCCCUUUUAAUAUUACGCUCCACAAUGUCCUUGGGUACAUCCAGGUCUUUUGCUUUCUCAAGGAUGGUAGCUAGAACUGUAUUGGACACUGGGUUUGGACCCCCUUUCCUGACACUGCAUAGUCUUUGUCAUAAACCUUACCCACACAAAGAAGUUGAAUCCAGCAAACUAAACAUAGAACAUGCAACACAGAGAAAGAAGACUUACGCAGAUACAACCUCCUUGCCAAUCCUACAGUAUAGCUUCGCCUUCUUUGAAUCUUGAGCCCCCUGUAUUCACCACAAAGUUCAAGGUUCAAGUUUCUAAAACACAAUCUAUUACCAAACAACUCAAAGACAUUUCAUCGAACAGGUGGUGGGCAACAACAAUGACAAGCUCUAGAAACAACUUCUAAAUCGAUUAUUCCUGAAACUAUUUACAAUCAGGAUUCAGUAGUAAAGCAUUUGUGUAAUCAUUGAAAAUUGGAACCUUUCGGCCAGCGAUUUUGGAAGAGCGACGACCCAUACAAAGAGGAGAAGAUAUCCAAAUCUUUCUGACUUGACGAUUGGUGCACUUCUUCUGCUCAUGUGUGAAGUUGGAAGUAGUGUGAGUGGAGAUUGAGGAGAGAGACGAGAGAGAGUUGGGGAUGGUGAGAAGAAGACGACGAUGAUGAUGGUUUCCGGAGUUGAGAAUGGAUCUGGAAGAGACGACGCCAUUGGAGAAUCGGAGGAGGAGUACUCCAACAGCGCCUCUCAUCGUGCAGUGGGACGACGCCAUUGUUCGAUGGAUAGAGAAGAGAGGGAACUGAGGUAAACAACGAUCGUAUCCGAUUCCUAAAAUCAAAGCCUUGGAUCCGACCCAAUAACAUUAUAGGAUUUGGGUUAUUUUGGUGUUGAAAAAAUAAGGAUUUGGGUUAUUUUGGUUUAGAAAGGUUCUAGUGAGGAACCCAAUAUGUGUUGGUCGGCUUGAAGACCGCUCAAUCCAACGAAAAGGGAAUGACGGAUACUGAAAUAGUUGUUUUCAAUUUAAACUUGUUUCAAUUGAAUUUUGUGUAACACUUUGGUGGGUGUACUAAGUAGACUCCGAGGGUAAUACAAUCGGUUCUAUAUGUAUAUCCUAAGCGUAGGUUUGUUUCGAACAUUCUAAAAUCACAGUGCCAGCGUCAUGAAUGUGCCUAUCAUGAAAGAAGCGAGUAGCAACAGACGGUUUUCAUGCCGAAAAUCAUAUAACAUUGAAAGAUUUCACUCUGAAAGCUUACAAAAAAUACAUAAUAGAAGAAUCUGAAAUACCCUGCAAAAAGGCAAACAGAUACACCUCACUUGCCUUCUUUCAUGGCGACCUCACUGAUUCUCUUCUCUGCAAUUUGCAAUUCUCAGACAAAAUGCAAUGAACCAGCACCAAGCUUCACACCUAACUCUCCCAACUUCCUUCCGGAGCACUGAACAAGGCAUGGCCUUUACGUCCCAACCACAGUUAUUCAAGCUCGCUCACCCCAGCGUUUGGAUACUCGCCCCAUAUCCCACCAAACAAACAAAAUCAUUUGAAAGUUCUCUUUUUUUUUUUCCUUUUUUUUAUCCUUCCAUCUUUUUGGUUUUUUGAAAUCUUUUUUUCCUCCUUUUUAAGCUUUUCUUUUUUCAAAAUUAGGUGUGCUUACCAAUGAGUGUCGAAUUCUGGAAGCUGUAGUCCACCAAAGCAACAGUUAGUUGCUCUGAUUCUUCUUAUUUAUUUAUUUUUGUUUUUUGGUCUUUAUCCUUUUCUUUAUUUGCAGGCUCUCAUUACGAUUGCUGAGACCCUCACACUAUCGACUUCAAGCCCAACCUGUUGCUGCUACAAAAAAAUACCAAGAAAACACCAAAAAAAAGAGCAUAAAGAGAUCAUGAUUUGCAUAAAUUAACAAUGGGUUGCAAAAGUACAUGCCUCAUCAGUGAAUUCUGCAAUGAUUCUGACCUAGCUCCGUCUUCCGGCCUCCCCAUCCCCAUGAGUAAAUUAUUUGUCUAAGCCACGAGAAAAGGAAAUUUAUAAGCAAGUAGAGCAGUGAAUGAAAAAAUAUAUAAAGUUUUCAAGUAGAUGCUACACAAUAAAGCAUGGAAGUACGAGGAUGACAUAUAUUUAUAUAUGCACUAGUUAGGAUGCACAACAUUCUAUUUUAAGCUAGUUACAUUAUAUGUUUAUUUAUUCUAAAACAAAAGUACGAGGAGGAUCACCCUUCAACAUGUCAUGCACUGGGUGGUGACAUACACAAGCUACCAAGCGCGGAAACUCUACAGGAGAAUAAACCUAAUGCCAAAUGACAAGAGUUAGAAUAAAAAAACCUGAAGUUCUUCUGACAAACCACUUUUCAACAAUCCAUCUGAAUGCAAGUUUCUAUGUUCCCCAGAUGAAUCCAAACUUGCAGCAGCCAAAAAACCCUGUAACAACCCAUGAUGACAAAGACUAGUACGUUCAAGACAUUUUUUUCCCAAUUUGUUACGAAUUUAAUACUAUAAUCAUCGGAUAGGAAAACUCACCUCAUGAUCAAGGCUCCGCCUACAUAAUCCAUUCUGCAAAACACCAUCAGCAAUUUCUCCUAACAUGGAUUCCCUCUCAACUCUAUCAACAUCCUCUUUCAGAUUUGGUCUCCUUGGAAGACGUUGCUUGUCAGUGUCAUUGAUAGAUUCAGAGUCCACAACACGACCUUUUUCUUUAUUCUGCCCACCUUCACAUGUUACCACAACACUAGGAUCAGGUCUCGCAUCCUUUCCUACAGGCUCAGCCAGGUCACGACAGCCUUGAACUAGAGACCUAUUAUCCACUUCUACGUUUUGCUUGCUACCAGAGUUAAGAUCAUUAGGGAUGGAGCAACCAAUAUCACUAGUUACUAAGCAUUCGGCUCUAGGACCUGAAACAAUGCCAAUCGGGGGAGUCCCACCAGUUGUGAUAGCACUACUUUCAGGAGAAACCACAUCUACACUAGGUGGACUAACAGAUGCACGCUUCUCAGGUUUCUCUGGCCUUGUAUCCAUCAAUUCAUUGUCGUUUUUUCUCUUGGCAUGUCUCUCAACAUUGGCGGACAAAGAUUCAACCGGCUCACCAGGUUCUCCGCCUUGUUGAUUCUGGAGCUUGGGUUGCCGAAACCUUUUGUAUCCGUUUGGAAAAACAAAAGGAGGGAGCUGCCGUCUACGAACAUGAGAAACAAAUACGUCCAUCCCAGGUCUCCAAAACAUAUACAUGUUUACGUCUUGCCUGAACUCAUCCACGGUUCCACGUAUAUCAAACUGUUGACACUCUUGGCCACCAUAUCCUUCUGCCCUUUGCAAGCCCAUGAAAAAAGCACAAUGCCGAAACUGCUUGGAAGUGUCCACGUACUCAUUUGGUUGAGGAUGGCACAUUAACAUCCCAUUUGUGUCUCGUUCUAUCUGCGUUAUUGGAUAAAAAACAGAACAAAAACCCUUCAGUUAUUGAAAUUUUUACCAGUAAAAAUUAGAGAGCACAUUGAAGACACUAAAGGUGUACUCAACAUCAAACGAACAUAAGUCUAUAUACCUUCAAGGUCAGCUGCCGGAACCUUGACUCCACCCAACCCUUCCAAGCCAAUAAAUCUUCUGCAUCUGCUGCUAGUACAUCAACCUGAAGGUAGUUUUUAUAUGCCUCGAAGAACAUAUAUUGCUCAAAUAAGGAACUCCAGUGUUGUUUGUUUAACUCAAUCUCCUGCAGACAAAAUGAUGCUUAGCAAUUGGAACAGAGGAUACUGUUCAUAAACAAAAUCGUCUCCCUCACCUGACAGAUCUUGUUACCAUACUGGAAUUGCUCCAUCAUAACACGAAGAGUGCUUUGAGAGACAUUGUAACUAGAAUUCAUGCAUGGGUAAGCAGGAGUUAUUAUUGGCAUAAGAUGAUAGCGGUCACGGUGAUACUUUCGCGGAUCCCAGACAGGAAUCCCAAGCUCAUCCUCUUCUAUUGCACAGAGCAUGACUGGAUUCGGCCAACGCCAUUGUGUAUAUACUCUAAAGAAUCGAGAAACCAACAUACUGGGAAUAGCAUUUGGAUAAAGCUGGCACAGGCGUGCAACCAGAAGCGCCCAGUUUACGCCACCAAGAAAUCCAGUAACCUGCUCAAAAUAAUAGAGAUAGAUGUCAAGAGCUUGAACAUUUUUUGUCUAACAGAUGUAACGUUCAGAAAGAAAACACAUUACAUUUGAAUAGACCCCACGCCUCUUAGCCCAGUACUUCAUGCAUCUUAAUGUUGUCCGGAAGUGCUACAUUUGCAAAUAAAUGUCAGAGAUAGCUUACAAAAUGUGUUAAGUCUAUUUACCAAAAAAAACUGGCAUUCAACUGACUUUACCUCGAAAUUUGGAACGAGUUUAAGAAUCUGAUCAGCAACCCUGCAACCAUUGAGACUGCGGACAGUUUGCUCAUCAACAUCAGAAAGCACAGAAGAGUUGGAGAUAUCCAGAUCCUGUUAGAAACAAGGGAUCUGACUCAGCAAGAAAAAUAUAAACUUUGGCGAGAAUCCAGCUUAGUACAUGUAUAAAUCAUGCCUGAAGGUUCAAAAAAUGGCAACCCAACAUCUAAGUGUUUACUAAGGCCAAAUUUCCGAAAAUAAGUUUCUUUGAUAUCUGAGCCCCCGAAGAGUAUGACACUAUAUGUGACCAUUAACACGCAACAGAAGCACGAAAACCACCAAACUAAUCACCCCUAAGUUUGAGCGGAAACAGAAAGAGGCUACACUGAAAUUACCUGUGGCACAACAAGAAGUGAGAUGCUAGCAUACAAAAGAUCAAUAGAUAUUCCUUGGAACUUAAAUUUCAUGACAGGGACAUGGGCAUCGGUAACAGGUUGAAGGUCAGUCACCUCUUCCAUCUCAGCCAAUAUAUCACGCAAGAUGAUGAAGAAAUCCUCCUGCACGAAUAAACCCGUUAGAAAACUUAAAAACAAUACGCAUCAGUAAAAAAUGUGUACAAAGUGUCACCUCUCGGUUGACAUAAGAUGGGCCAACACAUAAAGAAUCAAUAUCAGCCCCAGGUCCGUGCACCUGCAAGUCCAAAAAAAAAGAUCAAUAAUCCAAGUAAACCAUAACAUUUAGCGAAACUGAUGGCUCCGAAUGGUGACUGUGGUUUGAGCGGUGCGGUUCAACUGCGAUACGAUUUUAACAGUUAUAAAAACGUAUAGAUAUAUGGUAUAUAUAGAGAUUUUUUGUUAUUGUUAACUGCGGUGCGGGGCGGUUGUAAACAUUCGAAGCCAAAGAAUAGCAACUUACUCCAAGGCGGUAAGAUCCAAAAGUGAAAAUGAGAGCGUUAGCGUCCUCCAUCAUCUGAUCUGAAUAUCCCCUCUGAUGAGUUAACUCUUUCACCCACUCUUUUACAAUCUAUACAUGAAUGGUAAAGAUUAGAGCUUAAAACAGCAAACAAGGUUGAGCCAAUUUUGAACCUGAUCAAUGCGUCCAAGAACUUCCUCUCUCCGCAUGGUUUCCUCCUUGCUCUCGUACAGCCCCUCAUCAACCAGAAACUUCGGAUAACAAAACAAAAUCAGCUAAAAAUCAAACUAACAAAAGCAAAAUACACAGAAGAGAAUGAUUACCUUCUCCAGCUCCAAAUUACGCUUCAAAUCAGCCGCGGAAGGACCAGAAACAGAGAGCGGCUUCGUGAUUCCAUAGCUUUUAAGAGAUUGAGUUCCCACCAUGAUUAUAAACCCUAAGCCGAUCCAGCAGAAAAUAUAUCUAUAUAGCUAUCUAGGAAGAUAAUUAUUAUAUAGAUAUUUUAAGAUCUGAUCGAAGCAGAGAUCAUGAUGAUUUCGAAAUCUAAUAAGGAAAGGGAAUUCAAAUUUCGAAAAACUGGAGACGGAAAAGGAAACCGAGAGAAGAAGGAAGUGGCGAGAAAAGCUCGGAAGCCCUAAAUCGGUGACUAGAAAUUCAAAGAGGAGUCAAAGAGAGAAGGACGAGGAGGUUACAAUCAAUUUUUUGACUGGUUCUUAGGAGGAAGAGAGAGAGAGAGAGAGAGAGAUGGAGACGCAAAGGGUAUACGAGAGGGAAGGAGAGACGUCUAUUCGUCUAGAUAUUUAUUAGGUGAAAACCAGACUUAUCAUUGAAUAAUCAAAACGUUUUUUUUUUAUGUUUACUUGAAAUUUGAAAUUUUUGUUAAAUACCGUAAUAAUUAUGCGCAAAAUAUCCGCACCCUAAGAACCGAUUCAAAAUUAAAAGUACAGAACUGAAUCUAGAUAUAUAAAAGUUUUAGUAUUGAAUCUACCCCUGCGAAAAAAAUGAAAGUUAAAUUAUCAACUUCUAAAUUUGUUUGAAAAGAACGUGAUUUUUUUCGUGAAUCAUUUAAAAUUAUUUUGACUAACCGUUUUAACUUUUAACAUAUUUUGACUAAACCGUUUUCAAAACGACAUUAUAAAUUGAAGUUUUAAAUGGUCCACGAAAAAAGUUCAUGCAUUUUUUCAAUCAUCUUUGAAGUUUGGUGAUUUUUUCUAAAAAAUAUUCUAAUAUAUUUAAUAUAUAUAUCUCCAAAAUAUUAGUUAUAAAAAUAAUUAUAAUAAUUAUAGUACUGAAAAACAAAAUCAUAAAUUUAAUAUGUUUGGGACAUUUUGUUAUUAGUGCUACUUUGUAAUCGGACCCAUUAGGGUUUUCUGUGGCUUUUAUUUCUUAUUUUAGUUUGUACCUAUACGCAAUAGUUUGUUCCCCUUGUGGGAGGAAUUUGUCGUCGGGAAGUUUCUGGAUAUUGCCCCUCACAUAGCAAAGGUUCAUAUGGUGGUAAAUAAGAUCUGGAGCUAUGGUGACUCUAACUCUAAAGUAGAGGUGUAUGAUGUGGAUGCUAGAACGAUGAGAUUCAAGAUAUCGAGUUUGAAAGCUAGGGAGAAGGUAAUCAAAAGAGGGAUGUGGAAUAUUGUGGGUGUUCUGAUGGUUGUGAAGAAGUGGUCUCCAAAGGCUGAAGAGGAGAAACAGGAAGAAGAAACUAUUCCGAUGUGGGUUCAUUUGAGGAAGAUUCCGCUCAGUACGUUCUCGUGGGAGGCUCUUAGUUUCAUGACGAGUAUUGUGGGGUAUCCAGUCCGUCUGCACCCUGAGACAAUUGCGUGUUCCAACUUUGAUGAGGCUAAAGUUUUUGUCAAAGUUGACAUAACAAAAGCUUUACCAAAGGAAAUUGAUUUCACAUGGGGAGGUAAGGAGUUUACGGCAGCUUUCCAUUACCCGUGGUUACCAUCUAGGUGUAACCUUUGUGAGAAGUGGGGGCACACUGAUAUGGUAUGUGGGAUGAAAAGAAGAGAGAAGAAGCCGGAAGAAAAUGGGAAUAAGGAAGAGAGUCCAACAGCUAAAGUAAUGGAGAUAGUAGGAGAACUAGAGAAAAGUAUUGCUGUUCAUGAGAGAUCUGUUCAAAUAAUGGAGGUUGGUACUAGUAGAAAGGAGGUUUCAGAGGUAAAGAAAGCUGAUGUAGUGGAAAGUUCGGGUCAGGACUCAGAAUUGAGGAAAAGAAAUGGUUGGUCGCUAGUAUCGCCUGACAAAAUUGGCAGAGCUCACUCCACACCGGUGGAAACUAGUGUAGUUCAAAUCUCUGCUUCCAAGUUCUCUGUUCUAUCCAUAGAUGUGGAGGAAGGGGAGAUAACUGGAAAUCAGGAGGAUGAUGGUAUCGAAAAUAAGGAGACUGAGGCAGUGAGCAUUCUGGAGGGUGAUGUGUUUGAAGAUGAGAUUCUUGAUCAAAUGGGUAAAGAAAAGGAUAAGGCGGUUAUGCAAAAAGGAGGUAGAAGAGUUCAGAGGGCUAAAGCUCAACAGGUUCAACCUAAGAGUAAAAGGUCCUCUAGACGUAAUCUAUAAUCAUGGCAAGUUUCUUCUGGAAUGUUAGAGGAUUUAAUAAAGAUUUGAAGCAUUCUGUGGUAACUGACUGGGUAAAUAAUAGGGAGAUGAAGUUUGGCUGCAUUUUAGAGACUAGAGUGAAGGAAGGGAAAGCUGAGAAAAUUCUUAAAAAAGUGUUUAGUGGUUGGUCUUCUAUAACAAACUAUGAAGACAGUAGAGGUGGAAGAAUCUGGUUAGUUUGGAGAGAUAUGAUUCGUAUGACUUCUGUAUAUAAGUCAGAUCAUAUAAUAACCUGCUCAGUGGAGAUGCAGGGUGAAGAGGGAUUUUAUUAUUCUUGUAUAUAUGCUAGUAAUUAAGAGGAGGAGAGGAAGGCGUUGUGGGAAGACUUGGUUCAUCACAAUAGCUCUUCCUGUUUCAAAGAUAAAGCUUGGCUAAUUAUGGGAGACUUUAACGAAAUAUUGGAUGGUGGAGAGAGUUCAAGAUUUGAUAACAUGAGAAAGGUUUCUAACGGGAUGAGAGAGUUUCAGAGAUUGGUUUUGCAUUGUCAGCUUACCGAUAUGGCUUACCAAGGGCCAAAGUAUACGUGGUGCAACAAGCGGGAAGAUGGGAUCAUUUGUAAGAAGUUGGAUAGGGUUCUACUGAAUGAAGAGGCGGUUCAGAGGUUCAGCAAUGCAUAUUCUGUUUUUGAACCAGGAGGCUGUUCAGAUCAUAUGUGUUGUACAGUUCAGCUCUUUCCACCAGGUGAAAAAAUUAGGAGACCUUUCGAGUACGUUAACGCUAUAGGUAGUCUUCCUGAUUUUCUACCUAUGAUCCAAGGAUAUUGGGAUUCCACGGCGAGGUUAUAUCACUCAACUUCUGCGAUGUAUAGAUUCUCAAAGAAGCUAAAAACACUAAAGCCUUUGAUUCGAGAGAUGGGGAGAAAUAAGCUGGGUAAUCUCACUGUAAGGGCUAAGGAUGCGUAUGAAGUAUUAUGUGAAAAGCAGAAAAAGACACUAGUGAACCCAAGUGCACUUGCAAUUCAAGAGGAGGCAGAUGCAUAUGGGAAGUGGUUACAUAUUGCAAGUUUGGAAGAAGAUUUUCUCAAACAAAGAGCGAAGUUACACUGGUUAGAUGUGGGAGACAAGAAUAACAAGACUUUUCACAGAGCUAUAAAAACCCAUCAAGCUCAGAACAUGAUCAGAGAAAUCAGAUGUAGAAGUGGAAGAGUAGUAUCUACGCAUUCUGAGAUUAAGCAAGAAGCUGAAAGUUUUUUUGCUGAGUUCCUUAAUCACAGACCUGCAAAAUAUCAUGGUGCUUCGGAGGAAGAGUUACACGAGCUACUCAAGUUUCGCUGCUCAUCAGAUGACUGUAGUCAAUUGGAGGCAGUAGUGACAGAGGAGGAGAUUCGCAAAGUGCUCUUUGCGAUGCCAAACAACAAGUCACCAGGGCCAGAUGGAUACCCAAGUGAAUUCUUCAAAACAGUCUGGCCGGUAAUAUCUCAAGACUUCAUUAUUGCGGUUCAAUCUGUCUUCCGAUAUGGGUUUUUGCCGAAAGGUGUCAACUCUACCAUCCUUGCGUUAAUUCCCAAGAAGUUAGAUUCGAUGGAGAUGAAGGACUACCGACCUAUUGCGUGCUGUAAUGUAAUCUACAAGGUGGUUUCAAAGAUCUUGGCAAAUAGACUUAAGAAGCUUCUGCCCCGUUUAAUAACUGAGUCGCAAUCUGCUUUCGUUCAAGGUCGGCUUCUUAUGGAAAAUGUUCUCCUUGCUUCUGAGUUGGUAAAAGGCUACCACAAAGAAGAGAUUACACCGAGAUGUCUAAUGAAAAUAGACAUAUCAAAAGCGUUCGACUCAGUCCAGUGGGAAUUCAUAUUGAAAAGUAUGAAGGUUUGGGGUUUUCCGGAGAAAUUUAUGCAUUGGAUAAAGCUCUGUAUUACCAGUCCAUCUUUCUCUGUACAAGUAAACGGUGAUCUUGCGGGCUACUUUCAAAGUUCUAGAGGUCUUCCACAGGGUUGCUCAUUGUCUCCAUAUCUUUUUGUGAUGUGCAUGAAUGUGCUGUCACUGAAGAUUGAUCGUGCUGUGGCUGAAGAGAAGUUUGUCUUUCACCCGGGAUGUAAAAAGCUGUCACUCACCCACUUGUGUUUCGCAGACGAUCUAAUGGUGUUUGUAGAAGGUUCUAAAAGAUCCAUCGAAGGUGCUCUCUCAGUAUUUGAAAGGUUUGAAACCUGGUCUGGGCUGAGCAUAAGUUUGGAGAAAUCAACAAUAUAUAUGGCGGGGGUUGCAGAAGCAGAGAGAAGUAGUAUCUUGACAAAUUUUCCCUUUGCAGUUGGUGAGCUUCCAGUGAAAUAUUUGGGGUUGCCACUAAUGACUCAAGCCAUGAGAAAACAAGAUUAUCUUCCACUACUGGAGAAAAUCAGGAGUAGAAUCUGUACCUGGACGUGUAGGUUCCUGUCUUACGCAGGAAGACUGCAACUGAUAAACUCAGUUCUUAUGAGCAUUGUGAAUUUCUGGACGUCAGUUUUCAGGCUACCAAGUGCGUGUGCAAAAGAAGUGGAGCAAAUUUGUGCUGCUUUUCUUUGGACGGGUCCUUCACUUAAAACUUCAAGUGCUAAAGUGGCUUGGAAAGAGGUUUGUAGUCUGAAGAGUGAAGGUGGGUUGGGAAUUAGAGAGUUGAAAGAAGUAAACAAGGUGUAUGGGCUUAAACUGAUAUGGAGGAUGCUGGCUGGAGAUUCUUUGUGGGGAAAAUGGAUUAAAGAUAAUCUGCUUAAAGGGAGAAGUUUUUGGGAGCUAAAUUCAAAAAUGCAGAAUGGAUCUUGGAUGUGGCACAAAAUGUUGAAGCUGAGACCAGAAGCGAAGAGGUUUUAUCAGAAAGAGUUGGGCAAUGGUAGAAAUAUUUCCUUCUGGUUUGAUUCCUGGUCGAAGCGNNNNNNNNNNNNNNNNNNNNNNNNNNNNNNNNNNNNNNNNNNNNNNNNNNNNNNNNNNNNNNNNNNNNNNNNNNNNNNNNNNNNNNNNNNNNNNNNNNNNCACCAAUAGGAUGCCUUCCGGUGCAAGUAACACUUGGUACUGUCACUCUCCCUCGGAUCUUCCAUAAACGGAUCUGUACGGAAAACCAGAACACUGAUUCUCAGCUAUACAAUCAAAAGCUACUGAAGCUAAACUUCCUUUUCAGUCAGAGGCUUCGAGGCUCCAAAAUUCUUUACCUCGACAUCUACACUCCAAUAAUGGACAUGAUCAAACAUCCUUAUAAAUACGGUAUGUAAUUUGAUUUUUAUACACAAGAAAAUUUGUUAACUGUGGCGUAAAUUUUUUUGACUUGAUAACUUUGGAAUAUGAAUAAAUGCAGGAUUAGAAGAAACGUUAAAAGGAUGUUGCGGGACGGGGUUCUUAGAAGCAGGACCUCUAUGCAAGUCGUUGUCUGGAACUUGUGAUGAUGUUUCCAAGUAUUUGUUCUUCGAUUCUGUGCAUCCUACCCAAAAGGCUUACUCUGUCAUUGCUACUUACGCCUUACAAAAAUUGUUGCCUCUCCUCUAAUUUGUUAGUGUAAAGAUAACACUACAAUUGAGUAAUGCAGAAAAUAAAUCAAGAGACAAAAUAGAUAUAAGCAACCAACUAUUGUUUUAUUAGAAAUCGCCUAAAAAAUUUAUUACAAGACUUGUUUAUCAGCUUUACACAACCUGUUAACAUCCUAACAGCUGUUAAUGAAAGAUUCUUAAUCUAUCCAAACUUAUCUCUUUAUCGUCAGUACUUCAACAUAUGCAUCACCACGACCCAAGAACACCCCUAAGAGAUUUUCACCCUUACUCUAUAAUAAUAGUCAGUGUCUUAUGAAAUACACACGACUCCAUAGCUCUUUUAUAGUGAUUUUCACAUUCUUGAAAUCCUAAUCUCCAAAGAACAUGGAUACAAACAACUUCCAUAUCAAUAAGUAUACUUUCUUUUUCUUAAAAUGCACUUAUUUUUUAAAGCAUAAACUUGCUUCUCAAGUUUAUCUCCUGCCUUUUGUCCACGGUAUAAACUUGCUCCUCAAGUAUAUCCCACGCCAGCUCAACACCUUGCAUCCAUAUGGUCUCCACAACUCUGCAUGCCUCCUGGUUCACUCUCUGGCGCACACUGCCUCAUCAACUACUUCAACGACUACAUCAAGAUAUAAACUCUUAGUUUAUCCUUCUUCAUCUCAGCAUAUCUUGCAUCCAUAUGGUAACCCACCACUCUGCAUACCUUAUGUAGUAAUGACUAAUGCAUCCAACAUCAGUGACUUCGUUGCCUAGUUAAUCUUGAAAGACUAUUGACAUCUACAAGUUCAACCUGCAUCUUUAUAAUUUUUAUAUUAUUCUCUGCAAUUUUUUAAGGAAUGUUAUCACGUCCACAACACUUUUCGCAAGCUAACUGACAAAUAUAAACUUUUAAUUUUGUUACUACGGUUUAUUUCCCUCUCCAAACUAACUGACAAUUAAUUCAGAGUGAAGAAAUUUCGAGUCUCGAGUUAUGUUAACUAGGUUAUUAGAGAGGGCAUUCAUUGAUAAUAUGGGAAUAAAUUCUGAUUAAAAGACAUUUUAAUGAAUAUGUGGGGGUCAUCUUCUAUAUGGCAUUUAGGUAUGAACAUUGAAGAAAAAUAUGUAUUGUGUAGCCUUUUUCAAAAAAAAAAAAAAUUUAUGUAUUGUGAAAAUGCUACGAUAAGUCAAAUAUUAACAACAAAAGGAUCUUUCACCUUACAUAAAUAUUUGACUUAUAUAUACUGUCCAAAAUAUUAAGGAUUGGGAAGAAUCUGAUACAAACAAAGAAACAAGUAGACACAAAACCAGAAAAACCUUUCGUAGUUUUUUUAUUCCCUGAAAAAUAUGUAAAUAUUCUGAAAUAUAUAAUACAAUAUAGUCAAAUUGUUUUCAAGACCCGAGAUGAUAAGAAAACUAGUAUGGCAAAGUACAUCUGUCUUCUUGUUUUUCUCUUUUAUUUUAUUUUAAAAGAAAGUCAUAUGAGAGAAGAAACAAAUAUGCAAAGAACUUCCGUUGUAAUAUAAAAGGAGUGGUAUUGUCAGGAACAAUAUACUAAAAGAGUGGAAUGGAAAGAAAAAUUGAUGUUUUUAGUUGGGUCUAAGUAAUUUCAAAUGAUAAGUAUUAUUCUAAUGUCUCAGCCAUACGUAGCGCAAUUUGAUUUGUUAUAUUAUCUACAACUAAAUUAAGAUCACUUAAAUUGAGAGUUGAUUUUGAAAAGUUGACAACGGUUAGUUUGCCGUUAGAUGUCCAAAGACGACGUAAUUUAACAUAAUUGAUGUUGAAUGGGUACCUGCAAGUGAGCAUUUGAUAAGAUAGAGACAGGAAAAGUUUUUUUUUUGUAACAAAUAAGACAGGAAAAGGUUAUCGAGAUCAACCCAAGCAUAUACGAUUGCAUAUAUAAGCUUCACUGGUUUAACGUUAAUGCAUAAAUUAAUUACUGACAAAAUCUCCAUGUUAGGGGAAAAAGUAAUGGCUUACGAUACUUGUGUCGUGUGAGAGUGAAAGCGGAAAUUACGCAUACAUUUGCAACGUCUCACAACAAGACACAACCAAGACAACGUGCAAUGUUCUUGUAACUCUCAAAACCAUAUAGACUCACUAAUCUUUUUUAAUGGUUACUAUUCAGGAUAAAACGAAUCUCUCUGUUCACAACUCGAUCACAAACAUUUAUAUUUAAAUAAGCAUUUAACAUCUCGACAUAAUUAUACAGGAGUGUCAAAAUGAGCUAUCUCGUUCAACUCAGCUCAUAGUGAGCUCGGAUCUUUUAUGAACUAGCUCAACUCAGCUCAUUUAUUAUAUGAGCUUCAAUAUGUAAUUCGAAUUUAGAUUAUCUAAAUCAUGAUUUAAACGAACUAACUCGCGAUCAAAUAUAAAAUCAUAUUAUAUAACUAAUUAUAAAUAAAAUAUAGAAUUAAAAUAAUUUUCAUAAUAUAAUUUAAAAUUUAAAUAUUAAAACUCCAAAACAUUAAUAUGAAAUACUGAAUAAAACCAACACCUAAGAAUACAUUAAAUCAAAGCUAAAUUAAUGAUCCAAAAAUCUAUUUUUACUUUUUGAUAAAAUGUGAAAUUUUAUUGAUCAAGACAAAAAGAAUAAGCAUUUACAUGAUCCAAUAAAGCCUAAAGAGAUUUACAAGGCAAUAACAAUGAUUUAUUUUGUUAUGUAUUAGCUGAGACUUCAAACCAUCUUUGCAUCAGUCCUGCAAGCUUAUGAUCAUGCGAGCUUAUAUCACUCCAAAAAUCUAUUCCACAUAAGAGUCUUGAGAUGAUUACGUAUGAGAGUCUUCAUCUAUUCAAAUUAUAAAAAUAUAUAUUACGUAUGGGUGUCUUAGGAAUAUUUUGUUUUACAUUUUUAUUCUAAACAUAUAUGAUAUGAGGAUUGAUAUCAAUAUUUGUUUUACAUUUUAUAUAUGUUUAAAAUUUUUUGGUUUUACAUUUUAAUUUAGAAAAUAAAUAUGAUUAAAAUAGAAACUAUCUUUUCUUAAAUAUGAAAAAUAAAAGUCAUCCAUAUAUAUAUAUAUUAAAUACAAAAAUAAUCAUACUAUAAUGAAUUAGCUCAUGUUCAUAAAAUAUUGUUCAUAUAACUUGUGAUCUAAUUUAAACUCGAUCAUAAAGUUCAUUUAUUAAAGGGAUUUUUGCAAAAUUGACCUACAACUUAAAGUCAAACACAAAACUAACCUCCCUUUUUUUUGAAAAUUGGUUUUGCCCUAUUCACCCCACAAGUUCAUAUAAUUUACGAAAAUGCCAUCAAUUUUUUUUUUUUUUUUUUCGAAAAUGACAUUUUUACUCUCUCACCCUCAUCAUCUUCAAGUAAUUACAAGAUUGCCAUUGUCAUCAAUACCACAACCACCAUGAACAACCAAUUUGAAGCUCUUAAUGCUCCCAAAAUCGAUUUACCCUUCUUAUUUUUCCAUUCUUGUGAACUAAACACAACAUAUCUCUCACUUUCUCUCCACAAUAAGCUAAAAAAACCCAAGAUUUUGAUUCUAAAAUUUUUAUGGUUCAUAAAGUCAUAGAAGCUAACGAUUAUGGGUGGGUGACUUUCGUUUGUGAUUCUGUGUGCUUGGAGAAGCCUUAUGUAUGCUAAGGAACUUAUCUCACCAAUUUAAGGUAUGACAUCGAGUUUUUUUCCAGAUCUGUUCGUCAGACGACUUACUUGGGAAGUCGUCUCGCUGUAGACGACUUACCUUUCAGUCGUCUGGCUGUAGACGACUUACCUGGAAGUCGUCUGGUCAACGCAGAGGUUAUUUUUGCAAUUGACUUUGAAAUCUGUAACCUGAGACGACUGAAAGUUAAGUCGUCUACUAUUGUUUGGUUUCAAAAAAAAUUCCAAAGAACCUAGACGACUUACAUUUCAGUCGUCAUAGGUUAGUUUUGCAUUUGACUGGAUAAUUUCAGAAGUUUGACUUUCCCAGACGACUUACAUUUCAGUCGUCUGGCGAAAAUUAAAAUAAUAAUAUUUUUUUUAAAGUAAACGACUUACAAUUAAGUAGUCAUAGGUUAGUUUUGCAAUUGAAAAAAAAAACUUCAAGAUUUAAUUAUACACAGACGACUUAUAAUUCAGUCGUCCACCAGACGACUUAAUUGUAAGUCGUCCAGGACUUUUUUCUGAGAUUCUGGUCAAACCUCGUAAAUCCUGGACGACUUACAUUUCAGUCGUCUCGUGGACGACUGAAUUAUAAGUCGUCUGUAUAUAAUUAAAUCUUGAAGUUUUUUUUUCAAUUGCAAAACUAACCUAUGACGACUUAACUGUAAGUCGUCUACUUUUAAAAAAAUAUUAUUAUUUUAAUUUUCACUAGACGACUGAAAUGUAAGUCGUCCAAAAAGUCAAACUUCUGAAAUAAUCCAGUCAAAUGCAAAACUAACCUCUGACGACUGAAAUGUAAGUCGUCUAGCUUUUUUAGAUUUUUUUUUUAACCAAACAAUAGUAGACGACUUAACUUUCAGUCGUCCGAAAUAACAGAUUUCAAAGUCAAUUGCAAAAAUAACCUCUGCGUUGACCAGACGACAUAUAGUUUAGUCGUCUAGACAACUUAGAUUGAAGUCGUCCGCGUCUUCUCCACUAGUUUUUAAGUCUUCUACGUUAGUUUUUGAAUAACUUGUAUUUUUAAGAGUGAUAAGUAACUUCAAGAUAUGUAAAACUCAUAUUUACAAAAUAUGUUCUCUCCCUUAGUUUUACUAAAUUUGACUAAGUUUUUCAAUGCAAACUUAUAAAAAAUAUGAUAUGCUUUGACUAGUUACUAUUAUUUGUUUUCAUCUCUUACCAACAUUCUUGUUUAUUAAGAUGAGAAAAAGGCCAUUGGAGUUUAUUAUUGCAUAUGAGAGAUCCAAAGAUAAGAAAAAGGCUAUUGAAGUUUAUUAUUUCAUUGAUUUGUAAAUGUGUAAACACAUUGUUAGCACAUUUAAUACAUCUUGGAAAACAUUAUUACUGAUUUUACAAAAAAUUCACAACUAAAAGAGUAUACAUGCAAUUCACAAAACAGACCACAAACAAAACUAUUAUAGAUCAUUCAUCUACAAAGACAAGCUUGGAUUCCACUUGAGUAGACAAGACCAGACAACUUUUAAGAAGUCCAGACGACUUCUAAGAAGUCCAGACGACUUCCAGGAAGUUCAGACGACUUUGCCAGAAGACUUUUAGGAAGUUCAGACGACUUCCAGACGACUUUACAGGAAGUCCAGACGACUUUUAGGAAGUCCAGACGACUUCCAGACGACUUCCAGACGACUUCCAGACGACUUCCAGACGACUAACAAGUAAGUCGUCCCAGAAGUCUUCCAGAUCUGAAAAACCUGCAUAUUAAAUCCAGAUCUGGAAAACCUGCAUAUUCAAAAACGUUUAAAUGGCUUAAAAACAGAAAAAAUGAAUGGAAGAUUAGAUAAAUCUACCUUUACAGAACACACAAAAAUACAUAUCUAAAAAUAAAAGAUCUACCUUUAAAUUAGUGGAAGAUGAGUACCAUCUAAUUAAAAACCUGCAAAAAAAAAUAGAUUAGUAACAAAGACAUGAGACAAAAUUGAAAAAUUCAUAUAAAGUUUGGUGUUUUCAAGUCAAAGAGAUUAGAGUGGGUUUGGAGAGUUUUAGUUUGGGAAAAAAGUAAGAACUUUAUACAACAAGAAGUUACCAAAUGAAGAAAAAUCAGACAUAAGAACUUACCAAAACGCUCAGAAAAAUCCAGACGACUUCCUAGAAGUCCAGACGACUUCCUGGAAGUCCAGACGACUUCCUGGAAGUCCAGACGACUUUGUCAGAAGACUUCCAAGAAGUCCAGACGACUUCCAGACGACUUCCAGACGACUAACAGGUAAGUCGUCCCAGAAGUCUUCCAGAUCUGAAAAACCUGCACAUCAAAUCCAGAUCUGAAAAACCUGCAUAUCCAAAAACGUUCAAAUGACUUAAAAAUAGAGAAAAUGAGUGGAAGAUUAGAUAAAUCUACAUUUAUAGAACACACAAAAAUACAUAUCUAAAAUUAAUAGAUCUACCUCUAAAUUAGUGGAAGAUGAGUACCAUUUGAUUAAAAACCUGCAAAAGAGAUAGAUUAGUAAGAAAUACAUGAGACAAAACUGAAAAAUUCAUAUAAAGUUUGGUGUUUUCAAGUCAAAGAAAUUAGAGAGAGGUUGGAGAGUUUUAGAAUGAUGAACAUUACAUUUUUGUUGCAGCCAUUUGAGAGGAGGAGAGAGAAUGUGUAAAUUUUUCUUUUUAUAGGGAGACAAAAAAUCCAAUUAGAUUAAAUAUUUUUGACUCAGACGACUUCCUGGACGACUUACAUUUCAGUCGUCUGGUGAAGAAAUUAAAACAGACGACUUACAUGUAAGUCGUCCAGAAGAGUUUAAUAUUUUUAGCGGGAAAUUAAAUAUUUUUAGCGGGAAACUAAAAUAGAAGACUUCCCAGACGACUUACAAGUAAGUCGUCUGGACGACUGAAAUAUACGUCGUCCGGGUAAAUUAUUCAACAGACGACUGAAAUAUAAGUCGUCCACACCCUAAACAUAACCCCUAAACUUAAUUAUCUAAUUAAACACUUCAUAAAACCAAAUCAAACUUGAAAAGUGUUUACUAUACACAAAAAUAAACACAUAUAGGUGAAAACUAAUUUUUGAAAAAAAUAUUUUAGUUUUCCAAAAUCUAACCCUAACAAUACAUACAAUACUACAACAUAUGUUUGCCAAACUCCUAAACCAAAGUAUUUCAUGAUUCACUACUUUCACUCAUCUAUCUUCAAAACAAAUCAAUUUUAUCAUAUCUUAAUUUAUAUUAGUUAAAACUGUUUAUAAUUACUUGAUUUUUAUUUUUUACGCAUCAAAAUAUUUUUUUACAAGAUUUAUAAAUUAUUUUUAAAAUAAACUGGUACCAGACGACUUACACUUCAGUCGUCCAGACGACUUCCAACAUCUCGGACGACUCAGACGAUUUAAUGGAGCUAUAUUCGUAAAAAUGGCUUCUGUUUUUUUGUUUGGUCACAAGGGGCUGAGCUGUAAUUUCACUAGGCUUUUAGGUUAGUUUUGCAUUUGAUUCAAGUUUGGGUAUAGGUUUGGGAUUAAAAUCAAGUUGUGGGUUAGUUUUGGCAAAAACCCCUUUAUUAAAUGACCUAAAAAGACAGUGCUCGCUCAUAAAAAAAUCGAGUUGAGCCAGCUCAUCAACUAUAACUCAUUUUGACACCUCUAUUUAUAUGGCCCAGAACAACGUUUUAAAAUUUAUCUAUUAUUACCUUAAUUAAUUAUGGGUCUUCUCACAAGUAUGCAACGAAUGAUAAACAACAAAGAACCGUCUUCCAUCAACAAGUACCUCAAGAUCUCACUUAGAAUAUACAUAUAUACAUGUUGUUGUAUCUAUACUAUACUAAAAGAAGAAUAAACUCCACAGCUAAGGUGUCCACAUCAGCAAAUUAAUUCGAGCCAAUCAGAUUCUAAAUAUAUGCCAUGUCAGCACGACCUUAAUCUUCCUUGCAAAUUUGUCGAUCAAAAUCCCAGAAACAGAUCAUUUGCUCACCCCGUUACAAUCUCUACAUCUCUUUUUCUCUCUUCUCCGAGCUUCUCCGUUGGGUGAACGACUACUGUUGAAUUGAUUUCUUCCUUUCGAUUCGAUUCUCUCUACCGAUUACUAAGGUUCUCUCUCUCUCCAUAGAUCAUCUCUCCUUUGUUUAUCCGCGAACGUAUCUCUCUAUUCUGAGCAGUUAGAUAGCCACCUUCUUUCUCUUCUCUUCUAAUUUAGUCUUUUGAUAGAUCUGAUUGAGAUUUUUUGAGGGUUUCAUCUUUCCAGCUUAUGGGUUUCGAUAAAGCCUCUUCCUUUACUUACGAUCACCCAUCUGCUAUUGGUUCAUCAAUGGCUGUUGAGAAAGGUUGGUCGUGACUGAAGCUUGACUCCGGAGAUGAAGAACUCGCCGUGAAAGCUUGGUCGCGGUAAAGCUCCGAGAUGGUGAGGUUGAAGACGACUCGACAGAGACGAAGCUUUCACUGAGAAGAGCACGGCUUGACGAAGCGGGUAAGAAACAUCGGGUUGGAGCGACGAAGCCUAACCGUUCGUUCCAGUUUCGAAUCAUCACAAGUGCUGGAGCGGGCAACGCACAGCGGGUUGAUGAAGUGGCCGUACCAUGAGCGUGCGCUGGAGCAGGUGGUGCUAGCGAGGAGAAGAAACCGCUCGGGACCUCAAACAAACUCGAAGCUGCACAGCAGCUUCUCAAAACAGGCUGAUGAAACCGCUGUGGUCAUUGCACUGCUCGGAGCAGCUUAGUGGAGCGAGGAGAAGAGGCCGCUCGCUUUGGUGAUCGUUGUGGAAUUUGCCAGGUUCAUUCUUAUCAAGGAUAAUGAGUAACAGGAGCAGCAGCAAUCGUUUUGAUUAUUUAAAGUUGCAAGCUUUUUUCUAGAUUUAGGACAAACUUUCAGUUAUGAGUGCAUCAUGGGCAGAUGUGGCUGACUCUGAGAAGGCUGCUUCCAGGGCAAAGCCUGCUUAUGUUCCCACACAUCUAAGGAACAUGCAGUCUGAGCCUGUUGCUACUUUGCCACAAAAUGAUCGUCCGGGGUAUGGUGGUCAACCGUCUAGAUGGGCUCCUGGAGGUGGAGUUGGUGGAGGCGGUGGCUACAGGAAUGAUGUAGGGAGGACGAGUAAGUGGUGGUGGUGGCUGGAACAACAGAGGUGGAGGAUGGGACCGUGAAGUUAAUCCGUUUGGAGAUGAUGCUGAUUUAGAACCUGCCGUUCAGGAGAAUACUGGCAUUAAUUUUGAUGCUUAUGAAGAUAUUCCCAUCGAGACCAGUUGAGGAUACGUGCCUCCUCCUGUUAACACUUUUGCUGACAUUGAUUUUGGGGAGGCGUUGAAUCUCAACAUCAGGAGGUGUAAGUACGUGAGGACAACACCUGUACAGCGUCACGCCAUUCCGAUACUUCUUGCAGAGAGGGAUUGAUGGCAUGUGCUUAGACAGGGUCUGUGAAGACUGCUGCCUUUUGCUUUCCGAUAAUUAGUGGAAUCAUGAGAGAUCAGCACCUUCAGAGACCUCGUGGUUCACGGACCGUUUACCCUCUUGCAAUUAUCCUCUCACCAACAAGGGAGCUGGCAUCUCAGGUAACAUAGAGAAUCUACUCAUUCUCUCACAUAAUAUAAUUUCUUCAGACAAGACACAUGUGUAUUUUUUAAAUAUACAAAAAUUUUGACGUUUUGCUUUUUUUUUUUUUAAGAUUCAUGAAGCGAAAACAUUCACAUGCCAAACUGGUGUGAAGGUCAUUGUUGCUUACGGAGGAACACCUAUUAACCAGCAGGUAAUUAUCAUGCACAUGUAAUUUUUCUUUCUUGGUUGUCCACCUUUGUCUUUGGAUAUUGUUUUAUGUUUUAUAGGGGUGUUGUCUAUUUUAAGUUAAUAGCAGCUUACGGCUUACUGGUUUGGGGUCUGCUAGCUCUAUUCUUCCUUAUAUCAGUCUCAUUUUUGAAAUUAUGUUUUGAUUUUGAAGUCAGCAGUGCAUGAUUAAUAUUGUAUCGUACAUAACAUCAUGUUUAACGUGAUCCUCAUCCUCUUCACUCCCAUUCAAAAAUUUAAAUAUUUAUUAAAUCAUUGUGUUAUUGGUCAUCAAAAUUUACAGAUUUAAGUAUUCAAAAUGAUUACACAUGCAGUGUGUGUGUAUGUAUAUGAAAUGAAGGUUAAAUAUGAUUACCAAAAUAUUAAUAGAAACUUUAACUAUGUUUACAUCUAAAAUAUACAUUAGUAUAUAAAUUAAUGAUAUUUUAAACACAAAAAUUAUUAUCUUUUAAAACAAUUCAUUUUAAUUUGUCAAAUACUAUAUCAACAAAUAAAUGGUAAUCAAUCUUUAUAUUUAAGUUUAGGGGUGGGCGUUCGGAUACCCAUUCGGGUUCGGUUCGGAUCUAAUUGGGUUUCGGGUUUUCGGGUUUAAAGAUUUCAGCCCCAUUCGGAUAUUUCUAAAUUUCGGUUCGGGUUCGGUUCGGAUCUUUGCGGGUUCGGUUCGGUUUCGGAUAACUUAUUUAAAUUAUUUUUAAAAUUUUAAUUUUCAUUAUAUGCUUAAACUUUCUCAAAAUCUAUAAAACAAAAUAAUAUAUUACAUAUAAAUUUUUAUGACAUAUGUCAAAAUACCUAAAAUUAACAUAUAAAUUGGUUUGAUUUGAAUAUUUGGAUAUAAAAUCAAUAGAUAUUUUAAGCAUUUUGGUGUUUUGAAUAUAUUUUAGCUAUUAUAGACAUUUACUUUUGACUAUUUAUGUAUAUUUCAAGUAUUUUAGACAACUUAAAAGUAUCUUACAUAUUUUGGAUUUUUAAUAUAUAUUAAAUCUAAAAAUAAGUAAUAUAUUUAGGUAUAUAAAUCUAUUUUGGUUACAUUCGGGUACCCGAGAUACUUUGGUUCGGGUCGGGUUCGGUUUCGGUUCUUUAGAUACCAAAAUUUUGAACCCGUUCGGAUAUUUAAUCAAUUUUGGUUCGAAUUUGGUACUACUUUUUCGGAUCGGGUUCGGUUCGGUUCUUCGGAUCCGAAUUUUUUGCCCAGCCCUAUUUAAGUUUAAAUUUAAAAUAUAUAUAAAUUUUAUAAACAACAAACCGCGCGUAGCGCGGUAAAACUUCUAGUAUUCAUAAAGUAAGAUCAAGGGGACUCGCCAAGACCGAAAUCUUUCUUUUUUUAGUAUCAUUUUGAACUUCUUUCCUAAUGUCUCGACCGAGUUUUGAUGAACUCGACGAAGCUAAUGAAAGAGACAAACCCUUGAUAUCUUCAUGAUCAUCAAGUUUUUUUUCUUC
rnacentral:lncRNA from 1 species